rnacentral:lncRNA from 1 species
AUGAAAUCAUAUUAUUUUUUUUUAUUUUUUUUAUUAUUUUUUUUUUUUUUUUUCGUAAACUCGUACAUAAUCAACACUACUAUCUUCAUUCUCAUCACCACUGGUAUAAUCGGUACUAUUACUGUCACUAUCACUAUCAUCAAUAAUACAGCUACUACUAUUACCACUACUACUAAUACUACUACUACUACUAUUACUACUACUAUUACUACUACUACUACUACUACUAAUACUACUAUCACUACUACUACUACUACUACUACUAAUGAUACUACUUAUAUUACUACUACUACUAAAACUAUCACGUUCAUCACUAUACAUAUUACCACAAUUAGUAUAACUAUUGUAACUAUUACCAUGUAUAUUAACCUUAAUCAUAUUAUCGAACUGAGAGUAAUUACUAGGAUGUAUAUCAACACCAGAGUUGAUAAAAGUAUUUUGCAAAAUAUAAUAUACAUUAAAUGGAUAAACAAUGGAUGGUAAUGGAGUAUCUAUGUUAUAAUUAUUUUUUAUAUUUUUUGCAUAAUAACUAAAAAAAGAUAUUUGUAUUAAUGUCGUCACUUGUUCUAUAAUAAUUCUUUUUUUGUACCCUAUCAUGAAAUGUAU